AACGAACGCUGGCGGCGUGCCUAACACAUGCAAGUCGAACGCGAAAAGCAGUAAUGCUGAGUAGAGUGGCGCACGGGUGAGUGACACGUAAAUGACAUGUCCUCGAGACGGGAAUAACCAGCCGAAAGGCUGGCUAAUACCCGGUAAGCCCACGUCUUUGGAGAUGAGGGAAAAGGGUCGGGAAUUUUCGAAUCCGAUCGCUUGAGGAGUGGUUUGCGGCCCAUCAGGUAGUUGGCGAGGUAAAAGCUCACCAAGCCUAAGACGGGUAGCUGGUCUGAGAGGAUGAUCAGCCACACUGGAACUGAGACACGGUCCAGACUCCUACGGGAGGCAGCAGUGGGGAAUCUUGCGCAAUGGGAGCAAUCCUGACGCAGCAACGCCGCGUGGGUGAUGAAGGUCUUCGGAUCGUAAAGCCCUGUCGAGGGGAAGAGUGCUUGGAAUGGUCUAAUAGAUGAGCCAGGUGACGGUACCCUCAAAGG
rnacentral:rRNA from 1 species